UAUGUAUAACCACUUGGCUAGGAGUUUGGAACAUGAUCUGUGGAGACUAUUCAACAGCAGUUGGUCCAAACAAUGUUAUCAUAGGUGUUAAAGCAAAUGUGACACACAAUAGUCUAAGUGAAGCACCAACCGAGGCUAAAUGUGGAGAAAAAGCUUUCAGAGAUUUAA